UACAGAGGUCUCAAGCGUUGUUCGGAUUCAUUGGGCGUAAAGGGUGCGUAGGCGGCCCUCUCAGUCGGAUGUGAAAUCCCCAGGCUUAACCUGGGAACGGCAUCCGAUACUGGAGGGCUUGAAUUCGGGAGAGGGAUGCAGAAUUCCAGGUGUAGCGGUGAAAUGCGUAGAUAUCUGGAGGAAGACCAGUGGCGAAGGCGGGUCUCUGGACAGUUCCUGACGCUGAGGCACGAAGGCCAGGGGAGCAAACGGG
rnacentral:rRNA from 1 species